UGAUGCGCUCCACGAUGCCAGCCCGAUCGCACCGGAUCCCAUCAGAACUCCGCAGUUAAGCGUGCUUGGGCGAGAGUAGUACUAGGAUGGGUGACCUCCUGGGAAGUCCUCGUGUUGCACCCC